UACAGAGACUGCAAGCGUUAUUCGGAUUCAUUGGGCGUAAAGCGCGCGCAGGUGGUUUCUUAAGUCUGAUGUGAAAGCCCACGGCUCAACCGUGGAGGGUCAUUGGAAACUGGGGAACUUGAGUGCAGGAGAGAAGAGUGGAAUUCCACGUGUAGCGGUGAAAUGCGUAGUGAUGUGGAGGAACACCAGUGGCGAAGGCGACUCUUUGGCCUGUAACUGACACUGAGGCGCGAAAGCGUGGGGAGCAAACAGG
rnacentral:rRNA from 1 species